UAAAGGAGUAGGCAUGAUCAACACAUUGGGGUUACUACCUUCCUACGAUUUGGGGACAAUAAAAACUGCAACAAAUAAUUUCUCUGAUAGAAACAAACUGGGAGAAGGUGGAUUUGGUGUUGUUUGCAUGUUCAUUUUGCCAGGGUCAAUUGGAAGAUGGACAAAAGAUUGCGGUCAAAAAAUUGUCAAGAAACCCCUCACAAGGCCCAAAUGAGUUCCAAAAUGAACUUUCACUGAUAGCCAAGUUACAACAUAGAAACCUUGUUCGUCUUUUGGGUUGUUGCAUCGAAGACAUGGAGAGAAUUAUCAUUCUUGAAUACAUGGAAAACAAGAGUUUAGACGCCUUCAUCUAUGGUAAA